CGAUGCUGAGGAGUCCCAUACUAGGACGAAACGGCCGUCCAGUAC
rnacentral:hammerhead_ribozyme from 1 species